rnacentral:rRNA from 1 species
GAUGAACGCUGGCGGCGUGCCUAAUACAUGCAAGUCGAACGCUGAAGGAGGAGCUUGCUCUUCUGGAUGAGUUGCGAACGGGUGAGUAACGCGUAGGUAACCUGCCUGGUAGCGGGGGAUAACUAUUGGAAACGAUAGCUAAUACCGCAUGACAACAGUUAUUGCAUGAUAACUGUUUAAAAGGGGCAACUGCUCCACUACCAGAUGGACCUGCGUUGUAUUAGCUAGUUGGUGAGGUAACGGCUCAACAAGGCGACGAUACAUAGCCGACCUGGGAGGGUGAUCGGCCACACUGGGACUGAGACACGGCCCAGAAUCCUACGGGAGGGAGCAGUAGGGAAUCUUCGGCAAUGGACGGAAGUCUGACCGAGCAACGGCGCGUGAGUGAAGAAGGUUUUCGGAUCGGAAAGAUCUGUUGUAAGGGAAGAAAGAGUGUGGGAGGGGAAAGUUCACACUGUGACGGUAUCUUAUCAGAAAGGGACGGCUAACUACGUG